CUUUCCUCUUCUCAUCUGAUCUGCCUCUCUCUCUCCUCCACUGUAGCAUACUCGAAUUUCUCCAUUGAAGGGACUUCGGAGCUUUCUCUCAGCACUUUCCUAACACUCCGUCUCUCUCCUUCGAUCUCCUUCUCCAUAACCGCCACUUUCCCUUUCCUUUCUUCUCUCUUUCGAUCUCCUUCUCUCUUUCUACAAUAUUGGAGGUUAGGGUUUCUGCGGCAAGGUGUUGAGAUAUGGAUAAUAAUGAUAUAAUGGCGUCGGUUCGUUCUGUAGUGUUCAAGGAAUCAGAAACCCUUGAAGGGAAAUGUAUUAAGAUUGAGGGUUAUGAUUUUAAUCAAGGAGUGAACUAUCCCAAGCUUUUGAAAUCGUUCGUCUCGACCGGUUUCCAAGCAUCUAAUCUUGGUGAUGCUAUCGAUGUUGUAAAUCAAAUGAUUGGCGGCUGGUAAAUGAGACACCCGAUGAAGAUUGCAGCAAGGAAGAGAGGGAUCUUGUUUACAGGGAAUCCGUGGGGUGCAAAGUGUUUUUAGGUUUUACCUCGAAUCUUAUAUCUUCUGGUGUUCGUGACACUGUUCGAUAUCUUACUCAGCAUCAUAUGAUCUAUUCAAAAAUCAAACUGCUACCAUAAAGAAGGGCACCAAGCAUCUUGUUCUUAUGGAGAUGGCAUUUACAUGCUGCUGUUUGGAUGUGUUCAGAUCAUAAUGUCUCAGAUACCUGAUUUCCACAACAUGAAAUGGCUUUCUAUCUUGGCUGCCAUCAUGUCAAUUGCCUACUCAACCAUUGGAUUGGCCCUUGGCUUUACUACCGUGAUUAGUGAUCAAUCCCAUAUAUAUCAUUGAUCUUUUAUUACUAUGUACUUGUAGGGAUUCAAGUCUAGAAUCGAAGAUGUCAGAGAGGAAAUGUACUUGCUUUUGUUAUCACUGAUUUUUACUUGGUUUGUCCACUUGAUUUGCUUUCUCUCUCUAGUUUUAUUUUUAUUUUUAUUUUCUCUCUCUAGAUUACUUUGGUCUGGUGGUGGAUCUAUUUGUACAUUAGGGAUACAUGUAAUGCGAUUGGAGUGGUAAAAUAGUAUUGUGGUACUGGUUCUGUAUUUUGCCUUAGUGGGCUGUGACAAAUAGCUAUAUGUGCUUAGCUGGGAUAGUUGAUCUUGUUUCUUAGAUUAUACUUGGAUGGAUUUUUUCUUUACUUAAUGCAUUGCUGAUAAAAUGAUGUAAGAGUGAGAAUAUAUAGUUCCUGCGAUGUUAUUUGAAACAGCAAAUAUGAUGUUAUGUCCUUUCUCUAUGGGAACCAAGUGGUGAUAGAGUUGUUUCAAGUGGUGUACCUCUAAUUCAUGGCUGUCUGAGUAGUAUUAUCAAUAUUUUUAGCUCUCAUAACUGAAAUGCAGGUUAUUGUUGGCUACCUCCUUGCGGGAUCAAUGAUUGGGCCAGGAGGUCUAAAUUGUAUCAGUGAAAUGGUUCAGGUGAAGUUAGACUGCCUUGUUUCUUUAUAAAUAUAUUAGAAAUUCUAUGACGUGCUCUGCUUAUAACUUGUCGUGAGUAUUUGUUCGUAUGAUUUACAAAUAUUUAGUUUUUCGUGCUCUUCCUCAGCUUUUGUGGUCGCCUCAAUAUCAUAUUUUACGUCAAGGUCAUUAAAUCCACAGAAGUAUUUUAAAGACAGCAUGUAGAGAAGGAAAUAUGUAGUUUAUUGUACAACAGUGAACAUAGAACAUUUCUUUUUUCGUAUUGUGUGUGUGUGAGAGAAGAGAGAGAGAGAGAGAGAGAGAGAGAGAGAGAGAGAGAGAGAGAGAGAGAGAGAGAGAGAGAGAGAGAGAGAAGGGUUAUUUGUAAUGGACUGAUUUUCUGGGUUUAUAAUUCUGAUUUAAUAGUACACUUCCCAAAUUACCCCACCUAAAGCCAGUCUAUUACAGUAUUGUAUCAACAUUUGUUACUAUGACUUGUGUAUUGAAAUUUGAACCAUAAAGUGUGACCUUUUGAGAAGAGAGACUUGUAUAGAUGAAUGUUUUUUGUGUGUAGCUUUUAAUCCAUUCCCAUUGAUAAUUUCUCUUUUUACAUGUGUUUAGCUUUACCAAAUUUUGGGAACUUGUUUCUUCAGUCAUCUAAUCGUUCUGUAUUUUUUUUUACAUGUUUUCUUCUGCAUAGGUUGAAACUGUUGCACAAUUUGGUGUUGUGUUCCUUCUAUUUGCUUUAGGAUUGGAAUUAUCCAUGACCAAGGCAGAUUUGUUUUUUUUCCCCCCUGAUUAUAUCUUUAUCUGUGUUCUUGCUGUUGCUUUUAAUUUGACUUUUUUGAUGGAGAGUUUCAUUACAUUAACUAUAUGUGUUCAUUUUGAGCAAAUGAACAUAAAUAAAUCAAAAUUUAAAUGUAUUCAUAUUUUAUGGUAGAAGCUGUAUUAACUGUAAUUUGGUGCAGCUCAGAGCAGUAGGGCCUGUAUCUGCUCUCGGUGGGAUGCUUUAAAUUAUCGUGUUCAUGUUUUUGUGUGGCAUAACUGCUACGAUAUGUGGAGGAAAAUUGUCGGAGGGGGUGUUUGUGGGUUCUUUCCUAUCUAUGUCGUCAACAGAUUCAGGAGGUAAAAUAGGAAAGGGAAGGCCUGAUUCAUGCUCUUCCCUGUUUUUCUUGCUGGCCUGGUUUUCUGUAUGUUUCUUCUCUGUGUGCCUUGCUGAAUUCUGGAUUCGGCGUGUGUUCUGGUGUCUGUUCAGCUUUGAUUCAUGCCCUGUUUGUCUUUUCUAUCUGCUGGGUUGAGUUGCUGUUUCUCUAGCUCUUGUUUUGUCUAUUGUGUGCUGCUGCAGGCUGUGUUCUACUGUGAUGCUGAGCUAGUCAGUGUGCUAGGGUUGUUUGACUGUUCCUGUGCCUGCUCAGAGCUUCUGUUUUUUCUGUCCCUGCUGGUUUGCUAUGGUCUGUCUUUCUGCUGGCCUGUUGUGUAGCUGUUCUGCGUUCCUGAGCUUGGUUCUGAUGUGGUGGCUACUGUGCUGGUGUCUUUGCUCUGGUGCAGUUUGUGUUUCUGUGACCCUGGGACUGUUCUGCUAUGGUUCAGAUUGCUAUGAUGCUGUUUGCGUUUGGUCUGGUCAGUUUUUCAGUUGCAGUUUUGCUGAUUUGCUUUGCUCUGAUUCUGUGUUGCUGAGUGCUAGGUUUUAUGGGCUAAUCCUUGAAGCUUUCUGCUCAGCUGGUGCUGUCUGACUGCUGUUCUUCAAGGACCUACUGGUGCCUGCUCUGCACUGGUUGGGCUGCUGGUUUGGGUGAUGUACAGUAGUGGUGUGAUUUGGUGUUGCUGUUUUGGUGGGCUGCGAGGUUGUAAUAUUAUUUAAUUUUUUUUGGACGAAAAUUGUAAUAUUACAACCUUUUUUAAUGAAAAUAUGUAACUUUAUAUA